UACGUAGGUGGCAAGCGUUGUCCGGAUUUAUUGGGCGUAAAGGGAGCGCAGGCGGUGACUUAAGUCUGAUGUGAAAGCCCACGGCUCAACCGUGGAAGGUCAUUGGAAACUGGGUCACUUGAAUAUAGAAGAGGAAAGUGGAAUUCCAUGUGUAGCGGUGAAAUGCGUAGAUAUAUGGAGGAACACCAGUGGCGAAGGCGGCUUGCUGGACGGCAACUGACGUUGAGGCUCGAAAGCGUGGGGAGCAAACAGGAUUAGAUACCCCGGUA
rnacentral:rRNA from 1 species